GGUCAUGAGUGUCAGCGUCAAGCCCCGGCUCGCUGACCGGCAACCCUUCCUGUUCGCGAUGGGGUGCCCCGGGUGAGGACCGGGCCGUUUCGCCGACCGGCGACGGCAAGCGCUGAAC
rnacentral:ncRNA from 2 species